CUGUGCCCUGUGCUCGCGCGCACCUGUGGGACCGUAGCCGCCACCCCGCGGGGAGUCCCCCGACCUCACGGGUUCCCAGUUUUCCAACUCUGAAGUGUUUUCCAAUCAAAACAAAGAAAAGAUUUGCGGAUGUUGAAUAUGCAAGGAGCUGAAGAGAGAGAGCUUGGAAGAGAGGUUUGUCCAGAUUUGAUGGACAGGUCUGUUCCAGAGCAGGAUGUCUCUGAAAUUAAUUCACCAGGGAUAGUAGCAAAGAGAUUACCAGAGGAUGCAAACCAGGAUUCUAUAUUUGAAAAAAAAUAUGCAUGUGAGAGCAUGAAGGAAAACCCUUCUGGAGAGGUUCCUGGACCAUGCCUUUUUCAAGAAGGAGGUUUGGGGGAAAUAACUUUUAUCCACAAGGAAGCAUCUCCUGAAACAGUUAGCCAAGAAUAUAAUUUUGAGCGAAGCUUGCUCUUGACCUCCAGCUUUGUUACACAUCUCAGGGUUUCUACAGAAGAGAGCCUACAUCAGUGGGAGACAAGUAGCAUACACACUAAUGAGAUUUCAGACCAAAGUAAAUGCCCAACUCUCUCUACACAGAAAAAGUCUUGGGAAUGUAAUGAAUGUGGAAAAACUUUUACUCAGAGCUCAUCCCUUACCCAACAUCAGAGGACUCAUACUGGAGAGAGACCCUAUGCAUGUGAGGAAUGUGGGAAAGCCUUUAGUCGCAGUUCCUUCCUUACUCAGCAUCAAAGAAUUCACACCGGAGUAAAACCAUAUGGAUGUGAGCAGUGUGGGAAAACAUUUCGAUGUCGAUCAUUUCUUACUCAGCAUCAGAGAAUCCAUACCGGAGAGAAACCUUAUAAAUGUAAUGAAUGUGGAAAUUCCUUCCGCAAUCAUUCACAUCUCACUGAACAUCAGAGAAUUCACA